rnacentral:lncRNA from 1 species
GGAUUGGGGAGGGGUCAAAUAGCCUCCUCAGUCCCUAAGGCUGAGCAAGAUGCAUCAACAGCUUCAUUUACCAUGGUAGCAGAGUGCUUGUUUUCUUCAAUUUAGGGUGGACUAUGAUCUGGUGUUGGAGCAACAGAUUUUUCCCUUUUUACUAGAGGUAGAUGGCCUAUCCACUUGCCUCGACUGAGAUCCAACAUGAUAAAUCUUUCUAUAGAUAGUAGUUUGGGAGUGUACUACCAGGCAUGGAUUAUAAUAUGAGUCGAGAGCUUUUAAUUUGUUGAAACUGGCUCUUCCGAACCUUCAGCCAGAUUGAGCAGCAUUUUUUUGAGUAGAAGUGGUGGUGUCUUCAGCUGGUUGCUUCUCAUUCUACUUUCUAUCACCAGCUUGUUUCUUCCCCUUUUCUGAACUCAUUUUUUUCUCGUAUUGGAUGGUGGUAACAAUUCCCAUUGACAUAAAUGUCACCAACCUCCAUGCAAGGCACAUCCACACCAAUCUCAAUGCAAACUCUUGCAUACGUGAGUCUCGACCUCGACAUCGUGAGCUCGUCCAUAUGCAACACUUUGUCGACGGAACUCACUAUAAUUCCAAUUUGAGUCAGAGUCCACCAGUUGAGCCUCAGGUUGGUAGUCUAAUCUAAAUUGGGACCGAGCUUAAAAGGUCCUUAACAAGUGGAAAACUCGAGAACCAUUGACGAAGAAGAAGAGGGCGAAGUAGUGCCCAGCUGAGGUGGUGAAGAGCACUAGGAUAAACUCUAGGGACGCUGCAAUGAUCGUAAGGAUCCACCACCAAAGGAGAGCAAGAAUGGUUCCCCAAGGGUGAAGAGGGAACCCAUGCCAAGGGCUCUCCAUGAGCUCAUUCCUUAGUUUCAAACCGAGGCAGUUCCUCCGUUUCGAGUAGCACAUGCAGAGAGAGAAGCCAACCUCUUUUAGGAGAUUCGGCAGUCGGAAGAAGGGUAUUUUCUUAUCUGAGGCCGCUCGAGGAUACAUGACAGAAGGCAUUGUUCCAUCUCCAAACUUCAAUUCACCUUCACUAAUUUAUUUCCAUAAUUUCUUUUUCUUUCUAUCUUGAGCCAAAAAAAAUAUAUUAAAA